AAAUCUACAUUACUUUUUCUCCCGCCAUUUGUAAAGCUAAAUCCUCUAUCCAUUACUUUCUCCUCCCGCCAUUGUUGUCUCUUCCACUUUAAUCCUUUUCCCAAUUCUUCCACCAUUUUUGAAAUCUCUCCAUUCCAUUGAAGAAACACCACACGAAACACUAUGAAUAUCGGUGCUUCUAUAUCUUCAGUCGCCGCCCUCCGCCUUCCUUUUUCCAUCCAUUCCUUUCGAACCUCCAGAACCCUCAUUUCUUUCCCUUCUCUAUCCCUCCUUCAUUCUCCAACUUUCCAUAACUUUUCUUCAAUCACUUCUUCCAUUACUGCGUCGAUGUCCACUUCCUCGUCUCCGACCACAGACCAGCCGGCUUUAGAUGACAAGAAGCCCGCGCCGCCGCCGAAGCCAUGGCUCAUCGUCGGCCUCGGAAAUCCCGGGAAGAAGUACGAUCGUACGCGCCAUAAUGUAGGUUUUGAGAUGGUGGAUGCUGUAGCUGAAGCUGAAGGGAUAUCCAUCAGUAAUGUUUCCUUCAAAGCUCUGAUAGGGAAAGGUUUCAUCGGGGAUGUUCCGGUAAUGCUAGCUAAGCCACAAACUUUCAUGAAUGCAAGUGGUGAGUCAGUUGGUGCUAUUGUUUCGUACUAUAAGAUUCCAUUGAAGCAAGUACUUGUGAUUUUUGAUGACUUGGAUUUGCCUUUUGCCAAGUUGCGGAUGCUGCCGAAGGGUGGCCAUGGAGGGCAUAAUGGAAUGAGGAGUAUUAUUGAUCAUUUCAAAGGCAGUCGUGAUUUCCCUCGAUUAAGAAUUGGUAUAGGAAGACCUCCCGGGAAAAUGGAUGCAGCGAAUUUUGUUCUUCGCCCCUUCAACAAACAAGAACGAGAAGAGUUGAACUUUACAUUGCAAGUUGGCGCUGACGCAAUACGGAUUCUUUUGCUUGAGGGGUUCAACAAAAGCGCAACAUUUGUCAAUACCAACAAGCCUCUGGAACAAAUAAGUUGAAAACAUUCAAUAUUUAAACAUUUUUAUAGACUCUAAAAGGACUCCAUUCUAUUUAUUGUAUGUAUCAAACUGCUUUAUACACUGGCUGACUUCGCUACAGUUUCAACUACCAACUUCCGUGGGUGAAAAGCGUAUUGCAGCAACAAAAACAAUCAGUGUCGGAUUUUGAACCCCAUCUAUGGUUUCUGUUGAAUAGCUUCCCUAUGGACUUACUUGCCUCAUAUGGAGUGCUUCCAAGUAGGUGAAUCCCACAAAACUUUAAAAUGUUGGUGAUGGGUUUUAAAACGUAAUAAUUUCCUACUAACCAUUUUCUACAAUUCAAUAGCACGUGGGGUUUAGGAUUUGGAGUCGAUGAUUUAAAUUUAUAGCCUUUUGGCAUAUGAUAUAAACAAAUGUUUCAUGUUA